GCACUCGCUUUGGUAGUACAUAUACUAAAAAUGAAACAGUAAAGAGAAGAUUAGCGUGCACACUAUGAAAAGGAUGAAAUGCACAUUUGUGACGUUUUCCACAUAUUU